UACGAAGGGGGCUAGCGUUGUUCGGAUUUACUGGGCGUAAAGCGCACGUAGGCGGAUUGGUAAGUUAGGGGUGAAAUCCCGCAGCUCAACUGCGGAACUGCCUUUAAUACUGCCAAUCUAGAGACCGAGAGAGGUAAGUGGAACUCCUAGUGUAGAGGUGGAAUUCGUAGAUAUUAGGAAGAACACCAGUGGCGAAGGCGGCUUACUGGCUCGGAACUGACGCUGAGGUGCGAAAGCGUGGGGAGCAAAC
rnacentral:rRNA from 1 species